CCUGCGCGCAGCCAUGGUCGUCCUCCGGAGCACCAAAGGCGCAGAAAACAUAACUUGAGUUGUGCGGGAUUACGGGCGCGGCUCUCUGCUCGUCCCUCCAUCCCCGGGUGUUGCAAUCGGCAUGCGGCUACCGGGACCCAGGCCGCAAGGCCCCCGGCACCGUGCCGCAACAUACCGUGAGUGUGCAGGAUGUGACCCGAAAGAUGGUGAACUAUGCCUGAUCAGGUUGAAGUCAGGGGAAACCCUGAUGGAGGACCGAAGCAGUUCUGACGUGCAAAUCGAUUGUCAGAAUUGGGCAUAGGGGCGAAAGACCAAUCGAACCAUCUAGUAGCUGUUUUCCUUCCGAA
rnacentral:rRNA from 1 species